CGCUGGCGGCAUGCCUAACACAUGCAAGUCGAACGAGACCUUCGGGUCUAGUGGCGCACGGGUGCGUAACGCGUGGGAAUCUGCCCUUAGGUUCGGAAUAACUUCGGGAAACUGAAGCUAAUACCGGAUGAUGACGUAAGUCCAAAGAUUUAUCGCCUAAGGAUGAGCCCGCGUUGGAUUAGCUAGUUGGUGAGGUAAAGGCUCACCAAGGCGACGAUCCAUAGCUGGUCUGAGAGGAUGAUCAGCCACACUGGGACUGAGACACGGCCCAGACUCCUACGGGAGGCAGCAGUGAGGAAUAUUGGACAAUGGGCGAAAGCCUGAUCCAGCAAUGCCGCGUGAGUGAUGAAGGCCUUAGGGUUGUAAAGCUCUUUUACCCGGGAUGAUAAUGACAGUACCGGGAGAAUAAGCUCCGGCUAACUCCGUG
rnacentral:rRNA from 1 species